CCAACACAUCGGAGAUGGAUGAACUCAAGCUUGCAGACGGAUCUUUGGAAGUGGGCUGCUUGGAGCUCGGAUGAAGGAGGACCUCUUCUGUUCUAACCUGAAGAGAAGAGGAUUGCCGGUAGAGGACGGAGGGCUCUACUCUUCUAACCCAAAGAGGAGAGGUAGUUGUGGGAUCAUCGGAAGAGAGCCACCGGGGAGGACCUCUUCUCUUUUAACCUGAAGAGAAGAGGGGCUACGGUGGAGGAUGGACUCUCUACUUCUAACACGAAACAGAGAGCAAAAAAGGGCUGCUAGAUCUCCCUCUUUUAACUAGAAGAAGAAGAUGGCCGGAUGAUGAAAGAGGGGAAAAAGAAGAUGACUGGUACCUUCUCUUCUAACUCGAAGAGAAGUUGGUCGGAAAUGGUGGAAGGUGAGGAAAAGGGGGGCCUUGCGGUUCUCUCCUAUGAGGAUUAGAUGAGAGAAAGGAUGGAUGAGGAAAUCUGGAGCUUGCUAUGGGUUACGGCUUAAGGCUUGUUGGUGUCGGAUCCUUGAAGAUGAAGAUCAGUCGAUGUUGUGGAUGGAGGUGGAAGAGAUGGAGAAGGAAUGGAGAAAUUGAUGGAGUGGUGAGGGAGAAGAGAUGGUCGGCCGGCGGUGGUGAGGUGGAGGUGGACUGCAUUCCCUUGGUGGUGGUGGAGAGGAAGAACGAGUCUGCUGUCAUUCCGUCAGGGAUUCGAAAGCAGAAAAACACAAUGCACUCUCCUCUCUCUAGCUUCUCUUUUAGGGCAUGUUUACUCGAAGGAGUGGAUAAGUGAAAGAAAGGAUUCCACUGUAGAAAAAUAUCCCUAGGGGUAGGGAAGGGGAAAGGACGAGAAAGAAAGGGAAGAGAAAAAAAUCUCUACGGACAGAAGAGAAGACAGAGGGAGACGGCAGAGGGGGAGAAGACUGUUCACCUCCGAUAAAAUCUUCACAUAGUUUCCACCUCCGCCUGCUGUCAACUUCCACGAGGAACAGAGCAAACUAUCUGCCAUUGUCUCCAUUGGAUUUUGCCUCUCGUCUGACUCUAUUUCUUCUAUAUUCUCUGAAGAGCUUGCCAACAAAAUGAGAGAUGGAUGAAAUCGAGUAGAUUAAUCUACGAUCAGAGCAAGCAGCUACGGCGGAUGUUGGUUCAGAAAUAGCUACGACGAAUGUUGUGCAAAGCUGGUGGAGCCGUCAGAGUCGUCGGAGGCUCGCGUGGUUGACGAAGGAAAGGCGUUCCAGCUUGUGGGCGAGCCCCCA